GCUCCACCUGGGCUUUAAGCUUUCCUGCUUGUGCUCCUGCUCUGCCCUUCCUCACAAUGAAGCUCUCGGUACUCCUGGUGCUGGUUGGAGUUUCCACCGUCCUGGUCUCUGGCCAGAAUACAACAGAUGCUCCAAUUACCAGUGCUACCACUCCACAGGCUACCACUGCGGCUCCUGCCACCACCACUGCGGCUCCUGCCACCACUACUGCCGCUCCUACCAGUCCAACUAAAAAAGUUCCAUGGUUGCCGCCUCUCCCGCCUCUCCCGUCUCUCCCGCCUCUCCC